CGUAUCAUUUCACAUCCUCGAUGAAAUGGUGGCAAAUUGACACCGUUAUUUGAAACACAAUUCAUUAGAGGUCAAAAGCGAAAUCUAAUGUAUAAAUAUGAGAGAUCUGUAGCUAAAGGUGCUUUUGCAAAGUUUGAGCCACCAAAUGUCCACGGGAGGAUCAAGUUUUCCAAAUAUAUCCAUGUCCCGAGCUGAUAAAACCAAUGUCGC
rnacentral:lncRNA from 1 species